GAUGAAGAACGUAGCGAAAUGCGAUACGUAAUGUGAAUUGCAAAUUCAGUGAAUCAUCGAGUCUUUGAACGCAAAUUGCGCCCCCUGGUAUUCCGGGGGGCAUGCCUGUCCGAGCGUCAUUGCUGCCCUCAAGCACGGCUUGUGUGUUGGGCCCCGUCCUCCGAUCCCGGGGGACGGGCCCGAAAGGCAGCGGCGGCACCGCGUCCGGUCCUCGAGCGUAUGGGGCUUUGUCACCCGCUCUGUAGGCCCGGCCGGCGCUUGCCGAUCAACCCAAAUUUUUUAUCCAGGUUGACCUCGGAUCAGGUAGGGAUACCCGCUGAACUUAAGCAUAUCAAUAAGCGGAGGA
rnacentral:misc_RNA from 1 species